UACAGAGGGUGCGAGCGUUGUUCGGAAUUAUUGGGCGUAAAGCGCGUGUAGGCGGCGACGCAAGUCGGGUGUGAAAGCCCUCGGCUUAACCGGGGAAGUGCGCCCGAAACUGCGUAGCUAGAGUGCUGGAGAGGGUAGCGGAAUUCCGGGUGUAGAGGUGAAAUUCGUAGAUAUCCGGAGGAACACCAGUGGCGAAGGCGGCUACCUGGACGGACACUGACGCUGAGACGCGAAAGCGUGGGUAG
rnacentral:rRNA from 1 species